rnacentral:rRNA from 1 species
GAUGAACGCUGGCGGCGUGCCUAAUACAUGCAAGUCGAGCGAACAGACGAGAGUGCUUGCACUCUCUGACGUUAGCGGCGGACGGGUGAGUAACACGUGGGUAACCUACCUAUAAGACUGGGAUAACUUCGGGAAACCGGAGCUAAUACCGGAUAAUAUUUAGCUUCGCAUGAAGCAAUAGUGAAAGACGGUUCUGCUGUCACUUAUAGAUGGACCCGCGGUGUAUUAGCUAGUUGGUGAGGUAACGGCUCACCAAGGCAACGAUACAUAGCCGACCUGAGAGGGUGAUCAGCCACACUGGGACUGAGACACGGCCCAGACUCCUACGGGAGGCAGCAGUAGGGAAUCUUCCGCAAUGGACGAAAGUCUGACGGAGCAAUGCCGCGUGAGUGAAGAAGGUUUUCGGAUCGUAAAACUCUGUUGUAAGGGAAGAACAAGUACGUUAGUAACUGAACGUACCUUGACGGUACCUUACCAGAAAGCCACGGCUAACUACGUG